GACGAACGCUGGCGGCGCGCUUAACACAUGCAAGUCGAACGGAAAGGCCUGCUUUCCCUUGUGGAUUGCGGGUACUCGAGUGGCGAACGGGUGAGUAACACGUGAGUGAUCUGCCCCCAACUUGGGUAUAAGCCUGGGAAACUGGGUCUAAUUCCCGAUAGGACUGCAGGGUGGUGCCUGUGGUGGAAAACGAUUUUCUAGUGGUUGGGGAUGAGCUCGCGGCCUAUCAGCUUGUUGGUGGGGUAAUGGCCUACCAAGGCGGCGACGGGUAGCCGGCCUGAGAGGGUGGACGGCCACAUUGGGACUGGGAUACGGCCCAGACUCCUACGGGAGGCAGCAGUGGGGAAUAUUGCACAAUGGGCGGAAGCCUGAUGCAGCGACGCCGCGUGGGGGAUGACGGCCUUCGGGUUGUAAACUCCUUUCGACCGCGAGGAAGCCACCUGGUUGGAAGGGUGGUGACGGUAGUGGUAGGAGAAGCACCGGCUAACUACGUG
rnacentral:rRNA from 1 species